AAACUCAGCUGGGGAGAGAAAGCUGCCAUGGCAUACACACAUUAUCCUCACUUCCUCGCCCUUACCGUACUUGUACAGAAUGCCUUCUACUCGCCUCCCAUUCGGACCAUCUCCUAUCGUGAAGACACACGGCAUGUCUUCCACCGCAUUUGUCCCAAUUUCCUUCCGUCUAUUUUCGGCAGAAUCAUGCUUCUUGGAUGGAUUCUCCAUCUCUUGUGUGGAAGUUCUGCAUAUGUUUUCACUCAUCUUUUUCCCUGAAGAACCAACAGCUUCUUGAUUGCUUCGAACUUGAAAGGAUUGAUUACUCAUAGGGCUUCUCGCUUCACCACCACUGCUUGAUCCUGUGAUGCAUAAGAGUAUACAAGAUAAAUUUCAGUUGUUAUUUCUCCAUGUUCUUCAUUCACUUGCAGCAGAUUCAAAUAAAUAGUUUGCACAUGCAUCCAAGAUACGCAAUUACAAAAAGAUCACAUUAGAUUCUUUCAACUAUCAGUGCCACCCAUUUAGUAAAUCAGACAACCGAAAAAAAAGCAAAUGAUACAAUUCAAGAAAGCCGGAACUUACAAAGUCAAAAGCAAGGAUACUCAACAACAACUGCAGAGUCCAAAAUAACCUAUUACAGUAAGUUACAGAAAAGCUCUCCAUUUUGCUCUAGUGUUGUCAUUUUUCAAGUCAAACCUAGCCCACUUACUAAGCAAGCAAGUUCAUGGAAGGAUGACUUCCAAUAAACAAUAUCAGCACCCUGAAUCUUGUAGCCAUUUGCCUUCAGCAUUAUCAUCGGGCAUAAACACCAUCCUCCCCACGCCCACCCCCUUUUCUCUGUUCUCCAUGAUGAAUUUCAUUUCAAAUUUGCAAUUCAAAUAGCAUCCUCCAAGAAACUAAAAACCGCACCUUGAAAAUUAAACUUGCAAAUCCCUGUAGCUUUCACCCUUCACCUUCUUCAUUUUUUGAAUAUAUCUGUCCAUGUGUGAUUGAGAAACUCCUAAAACCUCCCAAGAAAAAAAACUUGGAUUUUGUUAUUUAACUGUACUUUGUUUGAAUUUGAAAGUCACAAGUUUUAGGAAAUAACAGUUACGAACUUAGCUAAUAGCAAAAAAAAAUCAACUUCUCUUCAAGAGAAAAUCUAUACCAUGGGUGAAGCUCAACAAUGAAUAGAACAAGCCCUUAAAAACUUGACGAGUGCAGCACAUCAACAAGAAAUAAAAACUUUGAGACAGAAAACUGGAUAGACCUGUUAGGAGUAUGGAUCUCUCAAGAAGCUUUAACCAAUAUCCAAGCUAUCAUGUACCCACUCGUAGAAGUCAUAUAAAAUGAAAUUAACUAAAAAAGUAGAAUGGUUCACAGGGUUAUUUUGCUUGAUAGGACAAUUGUACAUGCUUAACUAAUCUCAACAACAUGCAAUGUCAGAUAGUCAACCUGCAGUAAGACAACCUAGUCAGCGCCAUUGCUGUUUGAUCUCAACCAGACUCCUCUGGUCUGUUGGAGAAACAGGUAAUAGAUGAACAUGGUCCCCGCAUAAAAAAGGGGAGCAUACAGCCACCUUUUAUACAUCAUAGCCCAAGUAAUACAUCUACCAAAAUGAGAUCCUUAUGGCAUCAACACUACCAGCCAUACAAAAGGGGCAAUUUUUGUGCUGGCAAGAGUCAUUAAACAUUCACUGUGGUCCUUCUACCUUCAAUCCUUCAUCACUCCCUCCAGACAUGCUUGACACAUGCUCUAUGCCACUCAUACCCACAAAAAAAUCCAUUUAUCAGAUUCUUGCUCCAAAUUAACUAUCACCAUUUCUAAGCAAAACAAUAUGAUUAUCCUUCACGAAAUUUGCUCUCCAUACGCAUAGGUUUGUCUGAGCACACCUUGGUCAUUAAUC
rnacentral:misc_RNA from 1 species